rnacentral:lncRNA from 13 species
UUAAGAGGCCGGAAGGGGGGUUAGGAGCGCCGGAAGCAGUAGGCAAGCAGUUUUGGAACUUCUCCUCUAUAUGGCCUCUCCAGUGGAGUAGCAAGACUUCUUACAUGGCAACUCAAGAUAGCCAAGAAGCAAAAAUAGAAACUUCUAGGACUCUAAAGAGAAUGACACUACUUUUUGAUUUGCAAAAAGGAGCAGAAGGAAGAAGAGGUGAAGACCUUUCCAGUGCUUGUCUACGCCUUAAGCAUGAAGGAGAUUCAAGAGAGCUGCAUAACCCUUUGCCCAGCAUCUGAAUAAAAAAGUUCUAAGGAUACCUCAACUCCAGGUCCUAUGCCUGAUGUCUGCCUUCUGGAUCACUUUCAAGUCUUUUUGUCUUCUGAGGUCAAGCUCUUAAUGUUCAAAUAAAAUGGGUUUAUCUUUCCUUAUCUGACA